AGGAAGGAAGGAAGGAAAGAAGGAAGGAAGGAAGGAAAGGAAGGAAGGAGAAGAAAGGAAGGAGAAGAAAGGGUGACAGAGAUGAAUGAAUCAAUGUUUAAUAAUCAGCCUGUCCAUCUCUGUUGACCACAGCACUGUUCAGAAAAUCCUAGAAGUGGAACCAACCUAGGUGCCCAUCAGCCAACAGACGGAUAAAGAAAGGUGAUACAUAAACACAGUAGAAUUUCAUCCAUCUAUAAGAAAAUCCAAAUCAUAACAAUGACAGGAAAAACUGAUGGAAGCAAAGAUCAUUGUGUUAAGUGAAACAGGCCAGACUUUAAAACACAGCAUGCCCUUAAUCCCAGCAUUCAUGUGAUAGAGGCAGGGGGAUUUUCAUUAGUUCGAGGCUACAGAGUCUGGCCUACAGAGUAAGUUCCAAGACAGCCAGAGCUAUGCAGAGAGACAUCUCCAAAAGCCAAAAACCAACCAAACAACCAACCAAAAGACCAUGGCAUGCUUUAUCUUAUACUUGGAGACUAAAUUUAAGAUCAUAUGUAUGUAGCUAUCAAUGUGUGUUUGUUCAUGUACGUUUGUAAGACACAAGGUUGAAGUGGGAUUGUGACGAAGAGAUUAUGAUUCAGAGCAGGCAGCCAUGAGUAGGGGCGUGAUGUUCCAGUUAAAGGAAACGGUACAAGCCAGUACUUGGAUGCGAGAUGUGGAUGACGCUGUCAGGGAACAGCAAGCUUUUAGGUCACAAAAGUAAAAAUGUACCCGAGGAAGAAAAAGAGUAAGGAGGAGAAAUACACGAGAUAGGAAACCAAGGGGUCACUGCUGGGGAGGCGCCAUGACCCACGAGAGAAAGGUUACCGUGAGCCCCAGAAGGCAGAGGCAGGCUCUGCAGCCCCCCACUGGGGUGAAUGUUUUCAUGAAAUCACAGACCCCAUCUCAAAAGACACUUCAGGUUGUGUGCAUCCCACAUGUAACACUCAGUGGUAGAGAGAGCUUUGAAGAUGCAUGCGACCAGCCACAAAUCCCCAAAGCCCUUGCUGCCCUCUGUCCUCCCUGGAAGGUGAUCCACCACUUGGGACAACCCAUGCCGGCCUCUUCCAGCUGCGGUUCUCACCAUUGAGCUGUCGGUAACCCCCAAGUCCAUUUAGAGCAUUGAUUGUGACUGAUUCCAUGCCUUAAUUAAACAUGGAAAUGCGUCAUGAACUAUCAGAUCAGAAUGAACGUUUCCUGGGACCAAACUGAUUUCUUUGGACAGGAUAGAACAUGUUUUUAAGAAACUUCAAAAACUUCAAUGGCAUCAUAUAACUUCAGA
rnacentral:lncRNA from 1 species